rnacentral:rRNA from 1 species
AACGAACGCUGGCGGCAUGCCUAACACAUGCAAGUCGAACGAGACCUUCGGGUCUAGUGGCGCACGGGUGCGUAACGCGUGGGAACCUGCCUUUAGGUUCGGAGUAACUCAGAGAAAUUUGAGCUAAUACCGGAUGAUGUCUUCGGACCAAAGAUUUAUCGCCUUUAGAUGGGCCCGCGUUGGAUUAGCUAGUUGGUGGGGUAAAGGCCUACCAAGGCGACGAUCCAUAGCUGGUCUGAGAGGAUGAUCAGCCACACUGGGACUGAGACACGGCCCAGACUCCUACGGGAGGCAGCAGUGGGGAAUAUUGGACAAUGGGCGAAAGCCUGAUCCAGCAAUGCCGCGGGAGUGAUGAAGGCCUUAGGGUUGUAAAGCUCUUUUACCCGAGAUGAUAAUGACAGUAUCGGGAGAAUAAGCGCCGGCUAACUCCGU